CAAAGGCGAAUGAUUAUCACAAGUGCAUAGUUCAUACAAUCAAAUUGUGAUUGCUUGAACAAAAGGUGGUCUUUCGCUCCUAUCGGAUGAGUUUU